rnacentral:lncRNA from 1 species
GGAAAGGGAGAGGAGCUAGAAUAGAAAAGAGGAAAGGAAAGGUAGAGGAGCUAGAAUAGAAAAGAGGAAAGGAAAGGUAGAGGAGCUAGAAUAGAAAAGAGGAAAUGAAAGGUAGAGGAGCUAGAAUAGAAAAGAGGAAAUGAAAGGUAGAGGAGCUAGAAUAGAACAGGAGGAAAGGAAAGGUAAAGGAGCUAGAAUAGAAUAGGAGGAAAGGAAAGGUAGAGGAGCUAGAAUAGAACAGGAGGAAAGGAAAGGUAAAGGAGCUAGAAUAGAACAGGAGGAAAGGAAAGGUAGAGGAGCUAGAAUAGAACAGGAGGAAAGGAAAGGUAAAGGAGCUACAAUAGAACAGGAGGAAAGGAAAGGUAAAGGAGCUAGAAUAGAACAGGAGGAAAGGAAAGGUAAAGGAGCUACAAUAGAAAAUAGGAAAUGAAAGGUAGAGGAGCUAGAAUAGAACAGGAGGAAAGGAAAGGUAAAGGAGCUAGAAUAGAAAAGAGGAAAGGAAAGGUAGAGGAGCUAGAAUAGAACAGGAGGAAAGGAAAGGUAAAGGAGAUAGAAUAGAACAGAAGGAAAGGAAAGGUAGAGGAGCUAGAAUAGAACAGGAGGAAAGGAAAGGUAAAGGAGAUAGAAUAGAACAGAAGGAAAUGAAAGGUAGAGGAGCUAGAAUAGAACAGGAGGAAAGGAAAGGUAGAGGAGCUACAAUAGAAUAGAGGAAAGGAAAGGUAGAGGAGCUAGAAUAGAACAGGAGGAAAGGAAAGGGAGAGGAGCUAGAAUAGAACAGGAGGAAAGGAAAGGUACAGGAGCUAGAAUAGAAUAGAGGAAAGGAAAGGGAGAGGAGCUAGAAUAGAAAAGAGGGAAGGUAGAGGAGCUAGAAUAGAACAGGAGGAAAGGAAAGGUACAGGAGCUAGAAUAGAAUAGAGGAAAGGAAAGGGAGAGGAGCUAGAAUAGAACAGGAGGAAAGGAAAGGUACAGGAGCUAGAAUAGAAUAGAAUAGAGGAAAGGAAAGGGAGAGGAGCUAGAAUAGAAAAGAGGGAAGGUAGAGGAGCUAUAAUAGAAAAGAGGAAAGGAAAGGGAGAUGGCAAAGGAAAUAAAGACAAGGAACUAGGAUAUGAGGAAAGGAAAUGAUGAAAGGGAGAAAAAACAGCA